CACGAAUACAUUACACCAUUGGUCCAGAACAAAUUUGCCAUUGAUUGAUCUCCAGCACUGAUUAAGCCAGAAUUUCUCCUGUGAGUAAGAAAAACGACGCCAGUCAUUUUGUUGCCUGGCUCGUCAUCACGCCAUCAUUGAAGGAACCGUCGCUUAGUGAAUAGGGAGUUUAUACAAUGAUGACAGCGACGUCAACAAGGACAUAAGUCUGCAUAUUAAAUUAACGAAGCAAUGGCUUCUACACAUUCGACGUUUCCUUCCCACCUCCAACCGUUGCACCCCCUCCUCCUCCAACA